GCCUAAGAAAGAGGAAGAGGGCUGUAUCAGAGAUACAUAUUUAUUUCAAAGGGAAAUUGUAUACUUAAUGGAUUUGAUAACAAUUCUAACAACAUGAGUGAGGUUGAUGUCUUGUAAUAGCCUAACAGGCUGCACAAUACAUUGUUGACUGGCAGAGCUUCGUUGUUCGGGAGCACAUUAAGAGUAUGUGCCGAGGGUGUUAACAAACCAAAGGCUGCCACAGCAUGACCUUUCUUCACUGACGCUGUCCGGAGGAAGGACCACAUCUGGAUUCAUCAUCCAUGUGC